GCACACCCACAUGCGUUUCCCAAACUCAGCUACACAACCUUUUCCACUCUCAGAAAUUCUCUCUCUAUAAGCAAAACCAUCCGCUUUUCUUCUUUUCUACCGAGUCCGCAUAGAGAUCGACCCGUUUGAUAUAUUUCUUAGAUCAAGAGUAUUGAGGGAGAGAGCGAGAUGGGAGGUGCAAGGAGGAGAUCAGAGUUGAUGAGCAACGGUGGGAGUUCUUGUCGGAGGUUUACUGGCCGUCCGAUGCCGAAGCGGGGCCAGGUGAAGGUGGCCGUCGUGCUUGGCCUGGUUCACACUGUCUCUUCUAUCUUCUCGCUUAGUGCGCGUACCACCCGACGUGGCGGUGCUCAGAUAUCUUGACUCGGCUGGCUGGCACAGCCAGUUUUGAGUCCUUUACGGAUACAGACAGAUGGGAGGAGGAUAUGCACAGUACAGACUAGAAAGUUUUGUAAUGUAUUUUUGGUAGAUUUUAAUGAAUUUAGUUCUUUCUGGUUUCGUAGAUUUUCUUUUUCUCCCUUUUAUGGGAAGGUGUUGUUAUUUCGUAUAUAUUGUAAGAUCUCUUCUUUCAAGAUUUGCAAAUCGAUCUUUGCCGUAUUUACCAUAAUAUUCUCCCCUCUAGUCAUAUCUUACAAUUAAUUCGACUUUUUCCCACAAAAUUAUUUCCCAAGGCCAACCAUGGUGGGAAAUACUUGGCUUAUGGCAUCAAGUCUGUGCGUGGAAAAAGAUAGAACUUGUUGCCACGACAUAGCGACAGAUGGCUUAAUUUUGGUGGAAACUUAAUCCUAUUGGGGCGAGAAUAAGUCACCGCAAAAUUGUUUUCACUAAUGCUCCGUUCGGAUUAGAGAUGAUUUGUGAAAAAUAGAAUAAAAUCUUGUGAUGAAUUUUCUAUCUAAACCGGCAUCUGUAAAAGCCGAUCUCAGUUGUGACGAAAUUACUCGGUGGGAAUUAGGGCUUUUGUUGAGAUUGGUUAUUUCGCACAAACCAUUCCCGCAGGCAGUCUGAAACAUCUGCAUGUUGAUGGGGAAUUCAUCAGAUCGAUUUGGGGACCAAAAUACGGUGGUUAAUUUCGCCUCUGCACAUAGCUCCAUCUCGUUCUUAUCAACGCUUCCGUGGGUAUGCGGAAAUUAGGGUAAGAUUUUUUCAGAGAUAAUUGAGACACGGAGCAACUCGUCGGCGUCCACUGGCCGCUGGAUCUUGUCCCACGGCUAUCAUCCGCCCUCAAUCAACCCCAGAAGAUCACCAAGUGCUGAGAUUCCAAAAAGCUGAUUGUGCAUAGUGAUUGUGAAUUUGUGCAUAGGAUGAAGAAGAUGAAGAUACAAGGGAGUGCAACAAACUCUUUGAGAAUCUGAAUUUCUUCUUCAGUCGUGAGGGUUUGGAGACCAUCAUACUGAUUUCUCUUGCAACAAUUAGAAAUUGGCUGAAUUUAAACAUUUGGCUCUCAACCAACCUUUCACUAGACGAGAACAUUGAACUGACGGGGCUUCUGUCAGAUUUAGUAACUGAUCAGCAGAAUUACUCAAGGUUUUAUGAUCUUACAAUCUCACAACACAGUUACUGACUUUUCCAGCACCAUGGCCACACCAAAUUCCAAUGUUAAACAAUCAAAGUCAAUUAUCCGAUUGAAAUGAUAUUCUUGUGUUAAUUCACUUAAUUGUAAUGUUGCUACAAUUUAUCCCUUAAUAGUUUAUUGUGUUAUCAUCUUUUAUUUAAAUUACGUGACAACUUGUAAUA